CUCAGAUUGAACGCUGGCGGAAUGCUUACACAUGCAAGUCGAACGGUAACAGGUCUUCGGACGCUGACGAGUGGCGAACGGGUGAGUAAUAUAUCGGAACGUGCCCAGUCGUGGGGGAUAACGUAGCGAAAGUUACGCUAAUACCGCAUACGAUCUAAGGAUGAAANCGGGGGAUCGCAAGACCUCGCGCGAUUGGAGCGGCCGAUAUCAGAUUAGGUAGUUGGUGAGGUAAAGGCUCACCAAGCCAACGAUCUGUAGCUGGUCUGAGAGGACGACCAGCCACACUGGAACUGAGACACGGUCCAGACUCCUACGGGAGGCAGCAGUGGGGAAUUUUGGACAAUGGACGCAAGUCUGAUCCAGCCAUUCCGCGUGCAGGACGAAGGCCUUCGGGUUGUAAACUGCUUUUGUACAGAACGAAAAGGUCUCUAUUAAUACUAGGGGCUCAUGACGGUACUGUAAGAAUAAGCACCGGCUAACUACGUG
rnacentral:rRNA from 1 species